rnacentral:lncRNA from 1 species
CUGGUAGGCUGGGGUUAAAUAUCUGACUUCAAACAAAUGCCCUUCUCUCUAUGUGUUUUCACAGAAACCCAGGCCCAGGGAGAACAUUUACCCCUCUUCCUACAUUUCAGAGCUGAAAAUGUCGGAAUUGUCAUGGUAAUGCCCAUAGUUGAUGUGACAGAUACUGAGAAGGAAAAACACGCUUGCCACAUGUGAAAACUGCCUGGUUGGUUCUGCUCUGAGUGCCUCUCUGGAGGGCACAUUGAUGGAUUUGACAAUCACUUAAUUCUACUAGAGCCUGACCUUCAGUCUGGAAGUCAGAUAUACGCAGCAGAGACGUAGAUGAUAGCCGCAGGCUGCUGCUGGUGGGAAGCUGACAGAGUCCACUUUAAAGGACUGCCUUCAGUACCAUCUACAUUCUUCUACCUGGGACUGUGUGUGGCCAUGCGGACAGGCUCUCACCUUCACUAAACAAUUCAACUGCUGAAUUCCAACUAUCACGACAACCAUUUACACCAGUAAAAUGAACCAGAGAAGUCAGUGUAUCAGAACCUAAGACGGGAAAACUCUAUUGGAUUUCCUUUUACCUUAACUCUUAGAUACAACGUAAGCUGUCCACCUACUGCUUCAGCAUCAUGCCUACUUGACUGCUGUCAUGUACCCCACCAGGAUAUCAUUGACUCUGUAAGCAAACCCCCAAUUAAAUGCUUUCUCUUAUAAGUUGC